CCUGCCAUUAGGCAGCGUUUUGUGGAAUGUAAAAAGUUCUACGAAUAAGGACUGGGUAAGACUAGUGCCAGCCGCCGCGGUAAUACUAGGGGUCCAAGUCGCAGCCAUUCUUAUUGGGUCUAAAACAUCCGUAGCUUGCUUGAUAAGUUUUCUGUGAAAUCUCAUAUCUCAAGUAUAAGAAUUGUGGAAAAUACUGUCAAGGUAGAGACCGGGAGACGUAAAGAGUACGUCUAAAGUAGCGGUAAAAUGUGUUGAUCUUAGGCGGACUGACGAUAGCGAAGGCACUUUACGAGAACGGUUCUGACAGUAAGGGAUGAAGGCUAGGGGCGCAAAACGGAUUAGAUACCCGUGUAGUCCUAGCAGUAAACACUGCACACUAAACCUUGUGAUCUCUUCGAGAGAUUGCAGGGCUGCAGGGAAGCCGAAGAGUGUGCUACCUGGGAAGUAUAGUCGCAAGGCUGAAACUUAAAGGAAUUGGCGGGGAGACACUACAACGGGUGACGCGUGCGGUUCAAUUAGAUUAUACACCGUGAACCUCACCAGGAGCGACAGCAGAAUGAAGGUCAGUCUAAAGGGCUUACCUGACACGCUGAGAGGGGUUGCAUGGCCGACGUCAGCCUGUGCUGUGAGGCGAUCUGUUAAAUCAGAUAACAGGCAAGACCC
rnacentral:rRNA from 1 species